CGUCCGGGUUUGGAGACUCCUGCGUCCUCCGACUUUUCAUGGAAGAGAUGUCAGGAGAAAGUGUGGUGAGCUCAGCGGUGCCAGCGGCUGCUACCCGCACCACUUCCUUCAAGGGCACAAGCCCCAGCUCCAAAUACGUGAAGCUGAAUGUGGGUGGAGCCCUCUACUAUACCACCAUGCAGACACUGACCAAGCAGGACACCAUGCUGAAGGCCAUGUUCAGCGGGCGCAUGGAAGUGCUCACCGACAGUGAAGGUAAGCUUAGCCGCCACGUGCCUGCCUCUGGCCAUGCGUUAUGUGGUCAAGGAGGGCUUCCCGGAAGAAGUGACAUUUAAGUCGAGACCUGAAGAUGUGUCGAGGCAGCUUGUCAGGGACUCCCACCAUCUUGCUUGGUUGUCUAUUUGCUAUGUUACUUUGAGAAAGUCACUUCCUCACCCAGGCCUUAGCUUGCUUAUCUCUGCCAUGCUUCUGUGACUUCAGAGUGAAACUCAAGCCUGGGAGAGAGAGAGGUGUCUUCCCUGGACCCUUGUCCUCCCAAGAUGGGGUCUUGACAAAGACUUGCCAACCUGGGUUUGAAUCCCAGCUCCCCAUUUAGUAUCUGGUGAUCCUAACCAAGUGGCCGAAUCUUUUGGUCUCAUUUUCUUCCUCUGGUGAAAUGGGCAUGACAAUACCCCCCAACAUGGGGCCAUUGGCACAUAGUCAGUAUU
rnacentral:sRNA from 1 species